rnacentral:rRNA from 1 species
UACGAAGGGGGCUAGCGUUGCUCGGAAUCACUGGGCGUAAAGCGCACGUAGGCGGCUUUCUAAGUCAGGGGUGAAAUCCUGGAGCUCAACUCCAGAACUGCCUUUGAUACUGGAGAGCUUGAGUCCGGGAGAGGUGAGUGGAACUCCGAGUGUAGAGGUGAAAUUCGUAGAUAUUCGGAAGAACACCAGUGGCGAAGGCGGCUCACUGGCCCGGUACUGACGCUGAUGUGCGAAAGCGUGGGGAGCGAUCCGG